rnacentral:rRNA from 1 species
UACAGGGGGGCAAGCGUUGUCCGGAAUUACUGGGCGUACAGCGCGCGCAGGCGGUCCACUACGUGCCGUGUGACAACGUCGGCUUAACCGACGGAGGCCAGGGUACACGGGUGAACUUGAGGCAGAGAGAGGGAUGUGGAAUACCCGGUGGAGCGGUGAAAUGCGUAGAGAUCGGGUGGAACACCAGGGGCGAAGGCGGCAUCCUGGCUCUGUUCUGACGCUGAGGCGCGAGAGCGUGGGGAGCAAACCGG